CACUGCACCUAGCUUUCACUGCAAUACGAACUGCAUCACCAUGAUUAUGUCUUCUCUAUGCAGGAAAGCUGCCAUGAAUGUAAUGCAAAGGGUUCACACCAGACAGUCUGUCCCAUAAUCACUUCUUCCCCCCAAGCAGAUAAACAAAAAUUUCAGUGGUAAUGCACUACACUCUGAAAUACAAGAACACUGGAUGCUCCCUGCAGAACAAAAAAAAAAAAAAAAAAAAAAAAAAAAAAAAAAAAGGUGACCUCAAACAUAAAAAAAAAAAAAAAAAAAAAAAAAAAAAAAAAAAAAAAAAAAAAACAUGCUAUCAACAUUGUCUUUGUUUUCAGUGGUUGUCGCGUCACUUAUUUAGAGGGAGGUGAACGGUGACCGCGCCAUUCGAUGAGCAACGAGCUCGUUAAGUGUUAAGUCCCUGAAAAAUCAGGAGCUUUAGUUAUAGGUGUCGAGUUCAGCUCUACGAGUGGCUCAUCGUGACCCGGGUUGGCCUCCCUUGAUUAAGGGGCGUAUGUCAUGGCACUGCGCAGAAGGUGUUUGUGAUACGGUCGUUUGAGGGUGAUACUGGUAGUGCCAAAUUUCAUCUAUGCCACUAAUGCGUAACACAAGUGUGAGAUCACUACUGGCUCAUUACAGAAGCUCAGCAGCAAUGUUCAUCUGGUUUAUUUCUGUUCGGCUGUCAAUGUUUGAGGGACAGGUCUUGCAUUCAGUUUUCGUUUCCGUAAAUCGUUGCUUAAUAUCUGGUGACACCUCACAAACAUCCGUGUUCAAUUU